GAAGAGGAAAACGGGGGAAAGAAAAAUCUAUACUUAACAAAUUGUAUGCUCAUUUCGUAUCGAUGAGAUUUUCCCCAUUAAUAAAAAUUGCAUACAAUCCUAAAACUUCUUCCCAAGAUCAAAACUAAAAGGCGUGGCGAUUUACUAGCCAUCCAAUUGCUACUGCGAAUUGAUUUUUCUUUUGAAUUUGGAUCCCACUUGCUAUGAUUGAG
rnacentral:lncRNA from 1 species